rnacentral:tRNA from 1 species
GGGGGAAUGGUCCAGUGGUAAGAUUUACGCAUGGGGUGCGUAUGACCCGCGUUCGAUUCGCGGUUCUCCCA